AUUCCAGCUCCAAUAGCGUAUAUUAAAGUUGUUGCAGUUAAAAAGCUCGUAGUUGGAUAUCUGGUGGGAGCAAUGGGUCUCGUGCUUAGCGCGGGUACUUCAAUUGGCUCUUGCCAUCCUUGGGGAGAGCCCGUCUGGCAUUAGGUUGUCGGGCGGGGGAUCCCCAUCGUUUACUGUGAAAAAAUUAGAGUGUUCAAAGCAGGCUUAUGCCGCUGAAUAUAUUAGCAUGGAAUAAUAAGAUAGGACUCUGGUACUAUUUUGUUGGUUUGUGUACCAAAGUAAUGAUUAAUAGGAACAGUCGGGGGUAUUCAUAUUCCGUUGUCAGAGGUGAAAUUCUUGGAUUUACGGAAGAUGAACUACUGCGAAAGCAUUUACCAAGGAUGUUUUCAUUAAUCAAGAACGAAAGUUGGGGGAUCGAAGAUGAUUAGAUACCAUCGU
rnacentral:rRNA from 1 species